rnacentral:rRNA from 1 species
GACAGAGGGUGCAAACGUUGCUCGGAAUCACUGGGCGUAAAGGGCGCGUAGGCGGGGAUGUAAGUCGGGCGUGAAAUCCCCAGGCUCAACCUGGGAACUGCACUCGAAACUGCGUUUCUUGAGUAUCGGAGAGGAAAGCGGAAUUCCUGGUGUAGAGGUGAAAUGCGUAGAUAUCUGGAGGAAUACCGGUGGCGAAGGCGGCAUCCUGGACCGGCAUUGACGCUGAGGAGCGAAAGCCAGGGGAGCAAACGGG